AUUGAACGCUGGCGGUAUGCUUAACACAUGCAAGCCGAACGGUAGCAUGAUGUGUAGCAAUACACAUUGAUGACAAGUGGCGGACGGGUGAGUAACGCGUAGGAAUCUGCCUUAAAGAGGGGGACAACCCGAGGAAACUCGGGCUAAUACCGCAUAAUCUCGAGAGAGUAAAGCUGGGUUUACCUGGCGCUUUAAGAGGAGCCUGCGUCCGAUUAGCUAGUUGGUUAGGUAAAGGCUGACCAAGGCGAUGAUCGGUAACUGGUCUGAGAGGAUGACCAGUCACACUGGGACUGAGACACGGCCCAGACUCCUACGGGAGGCAGCAGUGGGGAAUAUUGGACAAUGGGGGGAACCCUGAUCCAGCAAUACCGCGUGUGUGAAGAAGGCCUUAGGGUUGUAAAGCACUUUAGUUGGGGAGGAAGGUGUGUUGUUUAAGAGAUGGCACAUUUGACUGUACCCAAAGAAUAAGCACCGGCUAACUCUGUGCCAGCAGCCGCGGUAAAAC
rnacentral:rRNA from 1 species